rnacentral:rRNA from 1 species
GAUAUGGCUCAGGAUGAACGCUAGCUACAGGCUUAACACAUGCAAGUCGAGGGGCAGCGGGAUUGAAGCUUGCUUCAAUUGCCGGCGACCGGCGCACGGGUGAGUAACGCGUAUCCAACCUUCCGCUUACUCGGGGAUAGCCUUUCGAAAGAAAGAUUAAUACCCGAUGGUAUCUUAAGCACGCAUGAGAUUAAGAUUAAAGAUUUAUCGGUAAGCGAUGGGGAUGCGUUCCAUUAGGCAG